AGAGUUUGAUCAUGGCUCAGGAUGAACGCUAGCGGCAGGCUUAACACAUGCAAGUCGAGGGGUAACAGGAGUAGCUUGCUAUUUGCUGACGACCGGCGCACGGGUGCGUAACGCGUAUAGAAUCUACCUUAUACUGGGGGAUAGCCUUUGGAAACGAAGAUUAAUACCCCAUAGUAUUAUUUUUUGGCAUCAUUAAAUAAUUAAAGUUUCGGCGGUAUAAGAUGACUAUGCGUUCUAUUAGUUAGUUGGUAAGGUAACGGCUUACCAAGACUUCGAUAGAUAGGGGUCCUGAGAGGGAGAUCCCCCACACUGGUACUGAGACACGGACCAGACUCCUACGGGAGGCAGCAGUGAGGAAUAUUGGACAAUGGAGGCAACUCUGAUCCAGCCAUGCCGCGUGUAGGAAGACUGCCCUAUGGGUUGUAAACUACUUUUAUAUGGGAAGAAUAAGAUCUACGUGUAGAUUGAUGACGGUACCAUAAGAAUAAGCACCGGCUAACUCCGUGCCAGCAGCCGCGGUAAUACGGAGGGUGCAAGCGUUAUCCGGAAUCAUUGGGUUUAAAGGGUCCGUAGGCGGGCAUAUAAGUCAGUGGUGAAAGUCUGUGGCUUAACCAUAGAAUUGCCAUUGAUACUGUAUGUCUUGAAUUAUUGUGAAGUGGUUAGAAUAUGUAGUGUAGCGGUGAAAUGC
rnacentral:rRNA from 1 species